UUCCCUUCCUCUCUCUGAAAUCAAUAAAAAAAGAUUGUUUUUAAAGCGGCCUCCCCUUUGUCUCAGUGGAACACCAUUUAGGUUGCUACCUGAAUUUAUGUCUCCUGGCUAGGGCUCCUUUUGCUCAAAUAAAUGCUUUUUGUUUUUUAUUACAGACUAAAAUUAAUUUUGGUUUACAGUAAUGGUGGCGGUGGUGGGAUCCAGAGUGACCGUCAUGCAUUUGUGCAAGGUUCCAACAGGAGAAGGCUGUUUUCUUCUUUCUCCUCUGGUGGCUCUGUCUUUUGGGGACAUCCGUCAGCUGCCAGCUUGUGCUCAGGUUCCACCUCUAGGACAGUCUGCGCCCUGUAAAUCCAGGCCUUCUGGGGCUGCUCUUUUACUUGAGAGAGGAAGGGAGACGGAGAGAGAGAGAGAGA